CAAGUCGAGCGCAUACCUUCGGGUAUGAGCGGCGGACGGGUGAGUAACACGUAGGUCAUCUACCUCUCGGUGGGGAAUAACUGAGGGAAACUUCAGCUAAUACCGCAUGAGGUCCACGGAUCAAAGCAGCAAUGCGCCGGGAGAUGAGCCUGCGGCCGAUUAAUUAGUCCUAGUAGGCGGGGUAAUGGCCCACCAAGGGUACGAUCGGUAGCUGGUCUGAGAGGACGAUCAGCCACACUGGAACUGAGACACGGUCCAGACUCCUACGGGAGGCAGCAGUGGGGGAUAUUGCGCAAUGGGCGAAAGCCUGACGCAGCCACGCCGCGUGUGUGAUGAAGGCCUUCGGGUUGUAAAGCACUGUCGAGGGGGAAGAACACAACUGACGGUACCCCUCAAGAAAGCGCCGGCUAACCCUGUGCCAGCAGCCGCGGUAAUACAGGGGGCGCGAGCGUUGCUCGGAAUCACUGGGCGUAAAGCGUACGCAGGCGGGUCGAUAAGUCCGUUGUGAAAUCCCAGGGCUCAACCCUGGAACUGCAGUGGAGACUGUCGAUCUUGAGUACGGGAGAGGGGAGCGGAAUUCCUGGUGUAGAGGUGAAAUUCGUAGAUAUCAGGAGGAACACCGGUGGCGAAAGCGGCUCCCUGGCCCGAUACUGACGCUCAUGUACGAAAGCGUGGGGAGCAAACAGGAUUAGAUACCCUGGUAGUCCACGCUGUAAACGAUGAGUGCUAGUUGCUGGAACACCUUCUUUGUUUCGGUGGCGUAGCUAACGCGUUAAGCACUCCGCCUGGGAAGUACGGUCGCAAGACUAAAACUCAAAGGAGUUGACGGGGGCCCGCACAAGCGGUGGAGCAUGUGGUUUUAAUUCGAAGCACCGCGAAGAACCUUACCUAGGCUUGACAUC
rnacentral:rRNA from 1 species